rnacentral:rRNA from 1 species
ACAAUGGAGAGUUUGAUCCUGGCUCAGGAUGAACGCUAGCGGCAGGCCUAAUACAUGCAAGUCGGACGGGAUCCGUCGGAGAGCUUGCUCGAAGACGGUGAGAGUGGCGCACGGGUGCGUAACGCGUGAGCAACCUACCUCUAUCAGGGGGAUAGCCUCUCGAAAGAGAGAUUAACACCGCAUAACAUAUCUGACCGGCAUCGGUUGGAUAUUAAAUAUUUAUAGGAUAGAGAUGGGCUCGCGUGACAUUAGCUAGUUGGUAGGGUAACGGCUUACCAAGGCGACGAUGUCUAGGGGCUCUGAGAGGAGAAUCCCCCACACUGGUACUGAGACACGGACCAGACUCCUACGGGAGGCAGCAGUAAGGAAUAUUGGUCAAUGGAGGCAACUCUGAACCAGCCAUGCCGCGUGCAGGAUGAAGCAUCUAUGGUGUGUAAACUGCUUUUGUACGGGAAGAAAAAAAGCUACGUGUAGCUUACUGACGGUACCGUAAGAAUAAGGAUCGGCUAACUCCGUGCCAGCAGCCGCGGUAAUACGGAGGAUCCAAGCGUUAUCCGGAAUCAUUGGGUUUAAAGGGUCCGUAGGCGGCCUUAUAAGUCAGCGGUGAAAGUUUUUGGCUUAACCAAAAAAUUGCCAUUGAUACUGUAGGGCUUGAAUUAUUGUGAAGUAACUAGAAUAUGUAGUGUAGCGGUGAAAUGCUUAGAUAUUACAUGGAAUACCAAUUGCGAAGGCAGGUUACUAACAAUAUAUUGACGCUGAUGGACGAAAGCGUGGGUAGCGAACAGGAUUAGAUACCCUGGUAGUCCACGCCGUAAACGAUGGAUACUAGCUGUUUGGUUGUAAGACUGAGUGGCUAAGCGAAAGUGAUAAGUAUCCCACCUGGGGAGUACGGGCGCAAGCCUGAAACUCAAAGGAAUUGACGGGGGCCCGCACAAGCGGUGGAGCAUGUGGUUUAAUUCGAUGAUACGCGAGGAACCUUACCUACCCUUGACAUGCCAGGAAUCUUGCAGAGAUGUGAGAGUGCUCGAAAGAGAACCUGGACACAGGUGCUGCAUGGCCGUCGUCAGCUCGUGUCGUGAGAUGUUGGGUUAAGUCCCGCAACGAGCGCAACCCUUGUCAUUAGUUGCUACGAAAGGGCACUCUAAUGAGACUGCCGGUGACAAACCGGAGGAAGGUGGGGAUGACGUCAGGUCAUCAUGGCCCUUAUGGGUAGGGCUACACACGUCAUACAAUGGCCGGGACAGAGGGCUGCCAACCCGCGAGGGGGAGCUAAUCCCAGAAACCCGGUCGUAGUCCGGAUCGCAGUCUGCAACUCGACUGCGUGAAGUCGGAAUCGCUAGUAAUCGCGGAUCAGCUUGCCGCGGUGAAUACGUUCCCGGGUCUUGUACACACCGCCCGUCACACCAUGGGAGCGGGUUCUGCCAGAAGUAGUUAGCCUAACCGCAAGGAGGGCGAUUACCACGGCAGGGUUCGUGACUGGGGUGAAGUCGUAACAAGGUAGCCGUAUCGGAAGGUGCGGCUGGAUCACCUCCUUU